UUACCAUGCNAGUCGCACGAAACCUUUCGGGGUUAGUGGCGGACGGGUGAGUAACGCGUAGGAACCUAUCUGGAGGUGGGGGAUAACAUCGGGAAACUGGUGCUAAUACCGCAUGAUGCCUGAGGGCCAAAGGAGAGAUCCGCCAUUGGAGGGGCCUGCGUUCGAUUAGCUAGUUGGUUGGGUAAAGGCUGACCAAGGCGAUGAUCGAUAGCUGGUUUGAGAGGAUGAUCAGCCACACUGGGACUGAGACACGGCCCAGACUCCUACGGG
rnacentral:rRNA from 1 species